rnacentral:rRNA from 1 species
AACGAACGCUGGCGGCAUGCCUAACACAUGCAAGUCGAACGAGACCUUCGGGUCUAGUGGCGCACGGGUGCGUGACGCGUGGGAAUCUGCCCUUGGGUUCGGAAUAACAGUGAGAAAUUACUGCUAAUACCGGAUGAUGUCUUCGGACCAAAGAUUUAUCGCCCAGGGAUGAGCCCGCGUAGGAUUAGGUAGUUGGUGGGGUAAUGGCCUACCAAGCCGACGAUCCUUAGCUGGUCUGAGAGGAUGAUCAGCCACACUGGGACUGAGACACGGCCCAGACUCCUACGGGAGGCAGCAGUGGGGAAUAUUGGACAAUGGGCGAAAGCCUGAUCCAGCAAUGCCGCGUGAGUGAUGAAGGCCUUAGGGUUGUAAAGCUCUUUUACCAGGGAUGAUAAUGACAGUACCUGGAGAAUAAGCUCCGGCUAACUCCGUGCCAGCAGCCGCCGUAACAC